AAGACUAUAGACCUGCGGAGUACCUGCGGAAGGAUCAUUAUAGAGUUUUCUAAACUCCCAACCCAUGUGAACUUACCUUUGUUGCCUCGGCAGAAGCUACCCUGUAGCGGCUGCCGGUGGACCAUCAAACUCUUGUUAUUUUAUUGUUAUCUGAGCGUCUUAUUUUAAUAAGUCAAAACUUUCAACAACGGAUCUCU
rnacentral:misc_RNA from 1 species